CGUCAAUGGGAAAGGUGUUGUGUUUUUAUUGGGAAGUGGCUUUGUCGUGCUGUGAACAGGCAGGUCUGGGUGGACGUAGAGAGAACGAGAGAGGGAGAAAAAUGCUACGUGGCACCAGAAAAAUAUGUGCAUUUUAGCAUUUUAAAGAUAUUUCGGAUGUCAUUUUCUAUGGUCUUUUGGCUAUCGUGCGCCUCUAGGAAUUUUCGUCUCGUGAAUCUCUCGUACUUUAAUUUACCCUGUUUUUCUUUUUAUGGAAAAACAAAGACGUUUCAUUAUCUGUU